UAAGGGCGACUGAAACGGGAACAGCCCAGCGCAUAACCUGGCGGUCUUCUGUGGCCGUCCAGGGGUGUUGCGUUCCGGUGCGUCCUUGCCGCCCGAGUUGCUCACCGCCUAAGUCAUUGCUUGAAAGCAGCCCCGAGGAGGGUGAUAGGCCCGUGUGGCGGCGCCUGUAAAAAGGGUGAAGGUGGCUUGGGCGGGCGGACGUCCACCGUAGAGUCGGGUUGCUUAGUACUGCAGCCCUAAGCAGGUGGUAAACUCCAUCUAAGGCUAAAUACUACCACGAGUCCGAUAGAGAACAAGUACCGUGAGGGAAAGCUGAAAAGGACUUUGAAGAGAGAGUUCAAGAGGACGUGAAACCGUUAGAAGCCUAAACGGGUGGAACCGCGAAGGUUGAACGAGGGGAUUCAGGUCGCCGGUGGCCGGAGUGCGGAGGGCGGGUCAGACAUGUUUUGAGGACGUGACCCGGCGCGAGAGUGCGGCCGGGCCCCGCCGCCUCCUCCGGGCCAUCCGGCGGGCUUACUUCUCCCUCGGGAAGUCGCCGCGACCCGUUCCUGGGAGCCCCAGGGCCGCAUCGCAUUGGUAGCCCGGGCCGUCGCAGGCCUGGGUGAUGAGCGAGGGCGGUUCCGUCGGCUGCCGGGGACGGUGGUGGACGGGGGCCGUGUCAAGCGGCCCCUCGCGGCGUGCAAGGGAUCGGACAUCCACCCGACCCGUCUU
rnacentral:rRNA from 1 species